rnacentral:lncRNA from 1 species
AAGUGAAGUUCUCCCUGUGGCUGUUAAGCGUGUGACUCUGGUGGAUCUGACACGGUAGAGCUUGCUGUGCUGUUUGGCUGGAAGGGAAUUCUCAAAAGGUGAGUGCCUUGACCAUCAUCCUGUGGGACAGCCAAGGUGAGGAGGGGUGGCAGAGGUGCACUGACCCAACUCUCUUCCUUCGUGACACUGUUCUCCUCUGUAUCAAGGAACCGCGUAGUCGUUGAGCGAGGAAGCGGAGGGCAGUGAGCUUCUAAUUAGUGGGGGAGGCUGCUCCUCUGG